rnacentral:siRNA from 1 species
UGCGGCCGACGCAACGUUAUGCGG